rnacentral:rRNA from 1 species
CCUACGGGUGGCAGCAGUGAGGAAUAUUGGUCAAUGGACGAGAGUCUGAACCAGCCAAGUAGCGUGAAGGAUGACUGCCCUAUGGGUUGUAAACUUCUUUUAUAUGGGAAUAAAACGUUCCACGUGUGGGAUUUUGUAUGUACCAUAUGAAUAAGGAUCGGCUAACUCCGUGCCAGCAGCCGCGGUAAUACGGAGGAUCCGAGCGUUAUCCGGAUUUAUUGGGUUUAAAGGGCGCGUAGGUGGAUUGUUAAGUCAGUUGUGAAAGUUUGCGGCUCAACCGUAAAAUUGCAGUUGAAACUGGCAGUCUUGAGUACAGUAGAGGUGUGCGGAAUGCGUGGUGUAGCGGUGAAAUGCUUAGAUAUCACGAAGAACUCCGAUUGCGAAGGCAGUUCACUGGACUGCAACUGACACUGAGGCUCGAAAGUGUGGGUAUCAAACAGGAUUAGAUACCCCAGUAGUC